CAGACAUAUUCUUUUACAUACAUUUGGGCUACAAAUGCAGAUGCGCAAUCAUUAAGAGUGAAGAGUGUUUGGCAGUUGUUCUGGCAACAUACAAUUUGAAAGUCUUGAGAAUCUGAUAAGCAUGAAAGGUUCUAAGAUGCCGGAUAAGCUUCCUGACUCCUCCUCCAAUGACACGCUUGCACCUUGGAAGAUGAGUUUGAAAAGCGUACUAAAGACAAUUAUCAACAACAUGUAAUGCUAUAUUUUUAUUUUUUAUAGCUACAGUAUAUCUGUCCCUGGAUUUAAUAUUUAUCUUUGUACAUCUUAGUUUGAUUUAGACUUUGACAAACACUUUGAGGGGAAGGCUGAUCUUUUCCUUCGCAAAUGGGAGACGAACAUCAUCCCUAAGCUAAUGAAGGUUGCUGCGUUGGAGAUGUCUGAGGAUCUGGAAAAUCCUUCAACCACCGGGAACAACAGUGAUGACAUGCUUUGCUUCAAAGCACUUCAGGUGCUCACGCAUCUUCUUCCACCAACUGCAUCAGGACGAGGGGCUGGAUGGAGUCGCUGCAGUGUGAAAUCAGCCAUUUCCUACCUCAUGGACUUUGUGCAAGUAUGUUUGUGUCUUAUGACUUUUUGGUUGCAUCACUGUUCACUGAACCUCCUGAUGUUGUGUUGUGGUCUCCUCCAAUGCUGGUUUACUAAUGUAGUAUUUCAAACGUUUUGUGUUACAGCCUGGAACGAGCAUCUCAUCAUUGCUUGAGAAUCGUGAUUCAUCGAGGGCCCAGCCUUGCAUCGUGUGCAUUGGACACCCAAGUGGAGCUACCCAGCAGUAUCUGAUCGUCGCAAGAAGUGACAAGAUUGCUGUGCCACUUGGAGAUGAAGGGCGGACCUGCACAAUUGAC
rnacentral:lncRNA from 1 species